UCGCUAAGAUCGCGCCGGAAUAUGGUUACGUAACCUACGUAAGCGACGCCGUAGGUUACGUAAGCUACGCCGUAGGCUGCGUCUAUUUAAAGCUCGCCGACCGAGGAAAACAUGCUUUGCAGACUCGUCUCGAUUUUGAGCAAGCAAGCAUUUUUUCAUUUUUUUUGAGUCAAAUGGCGACCCGCAAAGAGCAGGAGGAUAUUGAACCCACAAAUGGACUCCGGAUCAGGUCCGACACCUAAUAAGCUUUAGGACUACCAACGAGGAGAAUUUUACUAAGAAGAAAUAUGCUGCUAAACCGCUGUGGGAGAAACUCAUCAAAGAGCUGGAACUGGAGGGAAAGGUGACCACAGCACAAAUUGGCAAAAAAUGGGAAAAUCUUGAAAAAAUAUAUAAGAACACUUUGGAAGACGCCAGCACAUCGGCCUCAAGCUCUGCCUCACCAGCUGGAAGAGGAAGCUGGAAGCUUCAGGCAUCAGGUCCACUUUCCCCCCGAUCCCCCCAAAAAAAGAAACUCUCUAUGCAGGACUUCCUUCAAGCUGAGGCCGCCAAAGAAGACAGAAGAUGUCAAAAGAAUGAAGAACACAUGGACAGGUUCCUGAACCUUUUAGAGAAAAUGGUGGACCAGACAGACCAUCAGCAGUAGCAGCACAUACAGUGCAAAUUUUUUUUUUGUACAUAUUUCUGUGCAAAUUUUUUUAUAUGGAACAGCACCUUUCUUUGUUCUGCGUGCAAUGUUUACUUUUUUCUUUUUAAAAAUUGUAUUUGAAUAUAGCAAAU